rnacentral:lncRNA from 1 species
CAAAUCAUAUCAAGUAACAUAUAAAACCUAAAAUAAUACUAACAUAUAGUAAAAGCAGGAAUGAUAUGAUAUAAAUGCACAGUCUUUAUAAAGUAGAAACAAGGUAUGUACACUAUAGUUUCAUUUAAGAUGCCACUUAUAGUUAAGCUGCCAUAUCAUAUAUAGUAGGGGUUCUUAAUGGGGGUAUCCGUACAGCUUCUUUGGGGUAUGGGAACCAAAUGCUUCGGAUAUGGGACUCAAUCUUUAGGUACUGAUAUUUAUUUUAUUUAAUGUAUUAAUUUAUACUUGAGUAGUACAUGAAUGGA